rnacentral:lncRNA from 1 species
AUGUGUAACGUAAUGUGGGGGGGGAGAGCGAUAUUUAUUGUUCAUAUUCUAUUCGCCAAGUUAGUGUUAAAGUGGCAAGUGACUGAAGCAAGACAGCUGUCCUUUGCUCUCCCUGUGGCACAUGCCUUGGAGGGGGGAGGGGCUGCAAGGUGCAGGAGGGCCGGGAAAGUGGCCCUUGCAGAUAGAGCUGCGUGCGGAGGAGUUGGGGUUUGUGCUGGUUGCGGGGCUUAUUCAAAUACCGCCCGCUGCUGCUGUGAUUCGCAGGGACUCGGCCUCCAUAUGAUUCAGAAGAAGGAUCACAAGGGAUGGCGAUCAUCAAGAAAUGAGUAG